rnacentral:tRNA from 1 species
CAGGGGGUAGUUUAUUUAAAAUAUUAAUUUUGGAGAUUAAUGAAAAGGUAGCUUUCUUUCCCCUGA